rnacentral:rRNA from 1 species
ACCCAGUGUGUUUCGACACACUAUCAUUAACUGAAUCCAUAGGUUAAUGAGGCGAACCGGGGGAACUGAAACAUCUAAGUACCCCGAGGAAAAGAAAUCAACCGAGAUUCCCCCAGUAGCGGCGAGCGAACGGGGAGCAGCCCAGAGCCUGAAUCAGUGUGUGUGUUAGUGGAAGCGUCUGGAAAGGCGCGCGAUACAGGGUGACAGCCCCGUACACAAAAAUGCACAUGCUGUGAGCUCGAUGAGUAGGGCGGGACACGUGGUAUCCUGUCUGAAUAUGGGGGGACCAUCCUCCAAGGCUAAAUACUCCUGACUGACCGAUAGUGAACCAGUACCGUGAGGGAAAGGCGAAAAGAACCCCGGCGAGGGGAGUGAAAAAGAACCUGAAACCGUGUACGUACAAGCAGUGGGAGCACGCUUAGGCGUGUGACUGCGUACCUUUUGUAUAAUGGGUCAGCGACUUAUAUUCUGUAGCAAGGUUAACCGAAUAGGGGAGCCGAAGGGAAACCGAGUCUUAACUGGGCGUUAAGUUGCAGGGUAUAGACCCGAAACCCGGUGAUCUAGCCAUGGGCAGGUUGAAGGUUGGGUAACACUAACUGGAGGACCGAACCGACUAAUGUUGAAAAAUUAGCGGAUGACUUGUGGCUGGGGGUGAAAGGCCAAUCAAACCGGGAGAUAGCUGGUUCUCCCCGAAAGCUAUUUAGGUAGCGCCUCGUGAAUUCAUCUCCGGGGGUAGAGCACUGUUUCGGCAAGGGGGUCAUCCCGACUUACCAACCCGAUGCAAACUGCGAAUACCGGAGAAUGUUAUCACGGGAGACACACGGCGGGUGCUAACGUCCGUCGUGAAGAGGGAAACAACCCAGACCGCCAGCUAAGGUCCCAAAGUCAUGGUUAAGUGGGAAACGAUGUGGGAAGGCCCAGACAGCCAGGAUGUUGGCUUAGAAGCAGCCAUCAUUUAAAGAAAGCGUAAUAGCUCACUGGUCGAGUCGGCCUGCGCGGAAGAUGUAACGGGGCUAAACCAUGCACCGAAGCUGCGGCAGCGACGCUGAUGCGUUGUUGGGUAGGGGAGCGUUCUGUAAGCCUGCGAAGGUGUGCUGUGAGGCAUGCUGGAGGUAUCAGAAGUGCGAAUGCUGACAUAAGUAACGAUAAAGCGGGUGAAAAGCCCGCUCGCCGGAAGACCAAGGGUUCCUGUCCAACGUUAAUCGGGGCAGGGUGAGUCGACCCCUAAGGCGAGGCCGAAAGGCGUAGUCGAUGGGAAACAGGUUAAUAUUCCUGUACUUGGUGUUACUGCGAAGGGGGGACGGAGAAGGCUAUGUUGGCCGGGCGACGGUUGUCCCGGUUUAAGCGUGUAGGCUGGUUUUCCAGGCAAAUCCGGAAAAUCAAGGCUGAGGCGUGAUGACGAGGCACUACGGUGCUGAAGCAACAAAUGCCCUGCUUCCAGGAAAAGCCUCUAAGCAUCAGGUAACAUCAAAUCGUACCCCAAACCGACACAGGUGGUCAGGUAGAGAAUACCAAGGCGCUUGAGAGAACUCGGGUGAAGGAACUAGGCAAAAUGGUGCCGUAACUUCGGGAGAAGGCACGCUGAUAUGUAGGUGAAGUCCCUCGCGGAUGGAGCUGAAAUCAGUCGAAGAUACCAGCUGGCUGCAACUGUUUAUUAAAAACACAGCACUGUGCAAACACGAAAGUGGACGUAUACGGUGUGACGCCUGCCCGGUGCCGGAAGGUUAAUUGAUGGGGUUAGCGCAAGCGAAGCUCUUGAUCGAAGCCCCGGUAAACGGCGGCCGUAACUAUAACGGUCCUAAGGUAGCGAAAUUCCUUGUCGGGUAAGUUCCGACCUGCACGAAUGGCGUAAUGAUGGCCAGGCUGUCUCCACCCGAGACUCAGUGAAAUUGAACUCGCUGUGAAGAUGCAGUGUACCCGCGGCAAGACGGAAAGACCCCGUGAACCUUUACUAUAGCUUGACACUGAACAUUGAGCCUUGAUGUGUAGGAUAGGUGGGAGGCUUAGAAGUGUGGACGCCAGUCUGCAUGGAGCCGACCUUGAAAUACCACCCUUUAAUGUUUGAUGUUCUAACGUUGACCCGUAAUCCGGGUUGCGGACAGUGUCUGGUGGGUAGUUUGACUGGGGCGGUCUCCUCCUAAAGAGUAACGGAGGAGCACGAAGGUUGGCUAAUCCUGGUCGGACAUCAGGAGGUUAGUGCAAUGGCAUAAGCCAGCUUGACUGCGAGCGUGACGGCGCGAGCAGGUGCGAAAGCAGGUCAUAGUGAUCCGGUGGUUCUGAAUGGAAGGGCCAUCGCUCAACGGAUAAAAGGUACUCCGGGGAUAACAGGCUGAUACCGCCCAAGAGUUCAUAUCGACGGCGGUGUUUGGCACCUCGAUGUCGGCUCAUCACAUCCUGGGGCUGAAGUAGGUCCCAAGGGUAUGGCUGUUCGCCAUUUAAAGUGGUACGCGAGCUGGGUUUAGAACGUCGUGAGACAGUUCGGUCCCUAUCUGCCGUGGGCGCUGGAGAACUGAGGGGGGCUGCUCCUAGUACGAGAGGACCGGAGUGGACGCAUCACUGGUGUUCGGGUUGUCAUGCCAAUGGCACUGCCCGGUAGCUAAAUGCGGAAGAGAUAAGUGCUGAAAGCAUCUAAGCACGAAACUUGCCCCGAGAUGAGUUCUCCCUGACUCCUUGAGAGUCCUGAAGGAACGUUGAAGACGACGACGUUGAUAGGCCGGGUGUGUAAGCGCAGCGAUGCGUUGAGCUAACCGGUACUAAUGAACCGUGAGGCUUAACCUUACAACGCCGAAG